UCGGGAAUUUUGGGCAAUGGGCGAAAGCCUGACCCAGCAACGCCGCGUGAAGGAUGAAGUUUUUCGGAAUGUAAACUUCGUAAGAAUAGGAAGAAUAAAUGACGGUACUAUUUGUAAGGUCCGGCUAAAUACGUGCCAGCAGCCGCGGUAAUACGUAGGGACCAAGCGUUGUUCGGAUUUACUGGGCGUAAAGGGCGCGUAGGCGGCAAUUCAAGUCAGCUGUGAAAUCUCCGGGCUUAACUCGGAACGGUCAGCUGAUACUGCUUUGCUAGAGUGCAGAAGGGGCAAUCGGAAUUCUUGGUGUAGCGGUGAAAUGCGUAGAUAUCAAGAGGAACACCUGAGGUGAAGACGGGUUGCUGGGCUGACACUGACGCUGAGUGCGCGAAAGCUAGGGUAGCAAAC
rnacentral:rRNA from 1 species